GGGGCUUUGCUGUCAGCGCCAGGCGCGGACGGAUGCACCGUUCCCUGCAUGGCAUGCAGGGGGUCAGCGGUUCGAGUCCGCUUGGCUCCA
rnacentral:tRNA from 1 species